CUAGCCGUAAACGAUGGGUACUAGGUGUGGGAGGUAUCGACCCCUUCCGUGCCGGAGUUAACGCAAUAAGUACCCCGCCUGGGGACUACGAUCGCAAGAUUGAAACUCAAAGGAAUUGACGGGGACCCGCACAAGCAGCGGAGCAUGUGGUUUAAUUCGAUGCAACGCGAAGAACCUUACCAAGGCUUGACAUCCCUCUGAAGUAUAUAGAGAUAUAUACGGCUUUUAGGAGACAGAGGAGACAGGUGG
rnacentral:rRNA from 1 species